rnacentral:rRNA from 1 species
AAUGCCUAGGAAUCUGCCUAGUAGUGGGGGAUAACGUCCGGAAACGGGCGCUAAUACCGCAUACGUCCUACGGGAGAAAGUGGGGGAUCUUCGGACCUCACGCUAUUAGAUGAGCCUAGGUCGGAUUAGCUAGUUGGUGAGGUAAUGGCUCACCAAGGCGACGAUCCGUAACUGGUCUGAGAGGAUGAUCAGUCACACUGGAACUGAGACACGGUCCAGACUCCUACGGGAGGCAGCAGUGGGGAAUAUUGGACAAUGGGCGAAAGCCUGAUCCAGCCAUGCCGCGUGUGUGAAGAAGGUCUUCGGAUUGUAAAGCACUUUAAGUUGGGAGGAAGGGCAGUUACCUAAUACGUGAUUGUUUUGACGUUACCGACAGAAUAAGCACCGGCUAACUCUGUGCCAGCGGCCGCGGUAAUACAGAGGGUGCAAGCGUUAAUCG